UGGUCUUCUGUGCUCUGCUCCUAUCUGCAAACUGGUCUGUGGCAUAAGAAAGAGCCAGUGAAGUUGUGUCCUCACAGCUUGCGUGUCAGUGCAGAAAAGAGGAGGAGAAGAGGUCACAUGUCUGAAUCUUAAUGUUGCAUAAUGCCCUCUAUAUUGCCAGCUUAUUUAACCUGCUGUCAAGGGGAGUAAUGUGCUUACAG